rnacentral:lncRNA from 1 species
UAAGCUGAGUCUACGCGUUUCACUUGAGAGUCACGCAGACCAGACAUCCCAGCUUCACCAUGAUCAGCACAAAGACCCUCCUUGUCGGCCUUCUGGUCCUGGCCCUUGUGUUUACCGUGGCCUCGGCUCAGUUCAACCGUGGAUUCGGUGGCGGACGCGGAUUUGGUGGUGGACGUGGAUUCGGCGGCGGACGCGGCUUCGGUGGCGGACGCGGCUUCGGCGGUGGCCGAGGUUUUGGAGGAGGACGCGGCUUCGGUGGAUUUAGAGGAUAACACAUAUCCACAUAACGCGUCCCGAUGAGGCCACCAUGUAAAGUGCAAUCCGAAAAUGCCUGUUUGUGGCCCACGGGGCUGCUUUUUUAUGCAAUGAUUCUUUUACCAAAGGAUGCAUAUACAAAUCCUUGUACAAAAUAAACACCACCGUCUUCUACUUGUGUAACACCUCUGGUCUGUGGUGUCUUUAAUGUUUCUUCAACUGAUUAUCGAGAUGUAGAAUACGCUUGUAAUAUAGAACUACACCGCGAGGAAGUACAUUCCAUACAAAGAUAUCAAGACAUAUUCAUGGGCACUGUGCGCCUGUUCGAUGUGCAAUAAUAAAGGAAUAUGCAUUUCCAAGAA